rnacentral:rRNA from 1 species
AGAGUUUGAUCCUGGCUCAGAUUGAACGCUGGCGGCACGCCUAACACAUGCAAGUCGAGCGGUAACGGGACCAGUAGCAAUACUGGUUGCUGACGAGCGGCGGACGGGUGAGUAAUACGCAGGAACCUGCCAUGGGGAGGGGGAUAACCAAGGGAAACCUUGGCUAAUACCGCAUGACCCUGAGAAGGCAAAGCUACCCGCGAGGGCGGCGCCCUGUGAGGGGCCUGCGUCCGAUUAGCUUGUUGGUGAGGUAAAGGCUCACCAAGGCGAUGAUCGGUAACUGGUCUGAGAGGACGACCAGUCACACUGGGACUGAGACACGGCCCAGACUCCUACGGGAGGCAGCAGUGGGGAAUAUUGGACAAUGGGGGCAACCCUGAUCCAGCGAUGCCGCGUGAGUGAAGAAGGCCCUCGGGUCGUAAAGCUCUUUGGGCCGGGAAGAAGUGCUGCAGUUUAAGAGAUGGCAGCAUUGACGGUACCGGCAGAACAAGCACCGGCAAACUCUGUGCCAGCAGCCGCGGUAAUACAGAGGGUGCGAGCGUUAAUCGGAAUUACUGGGCGUAAAGGGCGCGCAGGCGGUUGUGCGAGUGUGAUGUGAAAGCCCCGGGCUUAACCUGGGAAGUGCAUCGCAAACGGCAUGACUGGAGUAGAUGAGAGGGUGGCGAAAUUUCCGGUGUAGCGGUGAAAUGCGUAGAGAUCGGAAGGAACGUCAAUGGCGAAGGCAGCCACCUGGCAUCAUACUGACGCUGAGGCGCGAAAGCGUGGGUAGCGAACAGGAUUAGAUACCCUAGUAGUCC